GCGGGUUUAGCUCAGUUGGGAGAGCGUCAGACUGAAGUCAACACUUCGGUAACAACAAUCUGAAGGUCAUGUGUUCGAUCCACAUAAACCGCA